rnacentral:rRNA from 1 species
CCUACGGGCGGCAGCAGUGAGGAAUAUUGGUCAAUGGCCGGAAGGCUGAACCAGCCAAGCCGCGUGAAGGACGAAGGUGCCAAGCAUUGUAAACUUCUUUUGUCAAGGGACAAAAUCAGGCUCGAGAGCCUGACCGAGGGUACUUGAAGAAAAAGCAUCGGCUAACUCCGUGCCAGCAGCCGCGGUAAUACGGAGGAUGCGAGCGUUAUCCGGAUUUAUUGGGUUUAAAGGGUGCGUAGGCGGACUGUUAAGUCAGCGGUAAAAGCCCGGGGCUCAACCCCGGCGAGCCGUUGAUACUGGCUGUCUUGAGAUGUCGAGAGGUAUGCGGAAUGCGCAGUGUAGCGGUGAAAUGCUUAGAUAUUGCGCAGAACUCCGAUUGCGAAGGCAGCAUACCGGCGGCGAUCUGACGCUGAGGCACGAAAGCGUGGGUAGCGAACAGGAUUAGAUACCCUGGUAGUC